ensembl:lncRNA
CUUCAGUUUAAGAGCAUGUUAGAGCUAGAAAAGACCUCAAAGAUGAUUGAGUGUAGAGUGGAAAUUGUGGCCAGUUCAGACAGCUUUAAUACAGAUGAGUAACUGUUUUGCUUUCUUCAUUUUCUCAGAAGAAGGGAAUGCUCAUUAUUUCCCCACACCUCCAAGAAAGGUUUGAAAAGUAAGCUCUUGAGAACACAGCAACAAAUUGAUCAGGAAGCACACAGAUGCUCAUCUAUCAGCUCCAGCUACCAAGUCUGUACAUGAAGCUGGAUAAAGAACACAGGGCUUGACAAUGGAAAAGCUAACAGAUGGAAGGGACCCUGGGACACUGAAUAAUGGAGGCAAGCUGCCAGCUGAUCAAGAAAACUUUUUGUGAAUAGCUACAUG